rfam:Moniliophthora roreri MCA 2997 sctg_0167_0005, whole genome shotgun sequence.
GGCCGACUAGCUCAGUUGGUUAGAGCGUCGUGCUAAUAGGGUCAAGCGCUAGGCAGGUUAUUCUAUUACGCGAAGGUCUUGGGUUCGAUCCCCACGUUGGCCA